rnacentral:rRNA from 1 species
UACGGGGGGGGUAAGCGUUGUUCGGAAUUACUGGGCGUAAAGGCUCGUAGGCGGCCAACUAAGUCGGACGUGAAAUCCCUCAGCUUAACUGGGGAACUGCGUCCGAUACUGGAUGGCUUGGAUUCGGGAGAGGAAUGCGGAAUUCCAGGUGUAGCGGUGAAAUGCGUAGAUAUCUGGAGGAAUACCGGUGGCGAAGGCGGCAUCCUGGACCGACAUUGACGCUGAACGGCGAAAGCUAGGGAGCAAACGGG